CCCCCUCCACCCCCCAGUAUAAUCUGACUACCUGCCAUGCAGAGGAAUUCAUUGUAUAUGUCAAUAGUACAAUAGUUCUGUCCUUUUAUCAGUAUUUUUUCUAGUUUUAUCUGUAUAACUUAUUGUGUUGAACCUGUUUUACGUGUAUCUUGUCAUUGAUGUAAGAUUGACCCUACUGCCAUAUUUUGAUUCUCAUAAUUUGACCCAACUCUCCCAACUAUUCCCCUUAAGUAUGAAUAUAUAGGUACAUGUAUCUUGAAAAACUAUACGGUUCUUUUAAGUUUAAAUUGUUCUCUAUAUAAAACUGACCCAAUAUCAAAGAUCUUAAUGCCAUGGUAAAAUCUGCAUAAAUUCUAUAAAUCAUUGUCAGGUCUUUCAUGUCAUAUGUUAUAAUCGUUGAUGAAAUCUCAUCACAUCUAUUCAUAAUCUCAAUACAAGGGAGUUUAUCCAUGCCUGUCAAGUAUUUCUCACUAGAUAUAAUGGCAUUAUUAGAACCCCCUUUGGUUUAUUUAUUGUCAAUUAUAUUACUUGUAAAUAGGAUCAUAUAUUGUUUUCUGAUAUGUGGAUUAAAUGUUUUGUCAUGUAUUGUAUAUGUUUGGAUGCUGAAUUGAAAGUAAAAUAUUUAAUUUAC
rnacentral:misc_RNA from 1 species